CGCUAAAAUCUGGAUCCUCGUCAUUACUUCUGUUCCUAAGGUAAUGUAUUUAAAACCUGGUGUAGCAAACUGCUUCCUUUGCCUGUAACCUCUCACUUGGUUACCUUCAACCGCAAUCGUAGCUUCUAUUAAAAAAGACUUUUGAAUUAUCAGAGGUGGCGAUAGGCACUAAUAACUAACAAGUAAUCUCUAAAUGCUCUAUUGUAAUUAUAGCAGCAAUACAGUUGUGUGUCUUCUGGCUGAAGGUCAAGUAGGUGAGUAUCUUGUGCUUGGCUGAGGGGAAAAUCUCUGUUGUGUUCUGCCUGCAACUCUUUGUACAAAGAUUCUUUCAGGUCGCAGUGAGGGGGACCAUUCAAGCACCCUGAGCCUGUUGGAGAAAAGAAGAGCUGCAAACUCGAAAGCCGAUUGCAGUCGCUCUCCGUACUUCUACCUGGAGGGACUUCUCUUGUCGGGACACCACUGCAGGGGAGGCCCCUUCCUGUGCCAUCACCACACAAUAAGGUACAUCUUUUGGUGGGACAGCCAGCCUUGUUUUGUUCCAGCUCUUAUUUUUACAGACCUCACAGUGCUACCUGUGCCGGAAGCAGAUCUGCUCCAUUGACAAGUAAGAGGCUGAGUCAGAGCUCUUGAUCCAUCAAGUGAACAUCUGCAGUGUAGGAUUGAGAGACACCUGUGUCUUGACUGCCUGCUUUAGGUAACCGGCUGUUUUUGCUCCUGUGUCUGGAGGGGAGGGCUGCUCAAGACCCAAGUCUCUUCCAGGUGCAUCUCAGUGACACAAGAAAUAGAAUUUUGCAAGCCUUCAGGAAACUUAACUGCAAGUGAACUUCACAUUCCACAAUUCAGUGAUCUUUUUCAGUACAAUCCUUUUGUGCUGGCUUCUCCAUUUCCCCCCGCUUGAUCUCGUCACAGUUCUGUCCCAGAGCCCACCACACUCAGGUGAAGCCAGCUCUACCUGCAGAAGUCAGACCAGCAGAAGGAACUUCCAGGCCCAUGAAUUCACACUUUGGAGGGACAAACAAAAAGAACUAAAUGAAGCAAAGUGCUCCUCUGAUGCAUCACUGGUGUGUGUCUAAGACAAGGUGGAUUACAUGGAUGCUUCCCAUCCUAGCAUUCCUUGCUAUAGGGAACAAAAU